AGUGAACGCUGGCGGUAGGCCUAGCACAUGCAAGUCGAACGGCAGCACAGUAAGAGCUUGCUCUUACGGGUGGCGAGUGGCGGACGGGUGAGGAAUACAUCGGAAUCUACUUUUUCGUGGGGGAUAACGUAGGGAAACUUACGCUAAUACCGCAUACGACCUACGGGUGAAAGCAGGGGAUCUUCGGACCUUGCGCGAUUGAAUGAGCCGAUGUCGGAUUAGCUAGUUGGCGGGGUAAAGGCCCACCAAGGCGACGAUCCGUAGCUGGUCUGAGAGGAUGAUCAGCCACACUGGAACUGAGACACGGUCCAGACUCCUACGGGAGGCAGCAGUGGGGAAUAUUGGACAAUGGGCGCAAGCCUGAUCCGGCCAUACCGCGUGGGUGAAGAAGGCCUUCGGGUUGUAAAGCCCUUUUGUUGGGAAAGAAAAGCAGCAGGUUAAUACCCUGCUGUUCUGACGGUACCCAAAGAAUAAGCACCGGCUAACUUCGUG
rnacentral:rRNA from 1 species